rnacentral:rRNA from 1 species
CCUACGAGAGGCAGCAGUGAGGAAUAUUGGUCAAUGGACGCAAGUCUGAACCAGCCAUGCCGCGUGCAGGAAGACGGCUCUAUGAGUUGUAAACUGCUUUUGUACGAGGGUAAACGCAGAUACGCGUAUCUGUCUGAAAGUAUCGUGCGAAUAAGGAUCGGCUAACUCCGUGCCAGCAGCCGCGGUAAUACGGAGGAUUCAAGCUUUAUCCGGAUUUAUUGGGUUUAAAGGGUGCGUAGGCGGUCGGAUAAGUUAGAGGUGAAAUCCCGAGGCUCAACUUCGGAAUUGCCUCUGAUACUGUUCGGCUAGAGAGUAGUUGCGGUAGGCGGAAUGUAUGGUGUAGCGGUGAAAUGCUUAGAGAUCAUACAGAACACCGAUUGCGAAGGCAGCUUACCAAGCUACUUCUGACGUUGAGGCACGAAAGCGUGGGGAGCAAACAGGAUUAGAUACCCUUGUAGUC